rnacentral:rRNA from 1 species
GUUGAACGCUGACAGAAGGCUUAACACAUCAGCAAGUGAUUGGUGGCGGACGGGUGAGUAACGCGUAAAGAACUUGCCUCGCAGCUAAGGACAACAUUUGGAAAAGAAUGAUACUACCACAUACUGUGAGAGAGCUUUGCGUCCCAUGAGAUAGUUGGAGCGGUAACGGCUCACCAAGUCGAUGAUGGGUAGCCGGCCUGAGAGGGUGAUCGGCCCAAAGGUGACUGUGACACGGCCGUUACGCCUACGGGAUGCAUCAUUGGGUGAUAUUUGACAAUGGGCCAAAGUCUGAGCCAUCAAUUCUUUGUGCACUAUGAAUUUUUCAGAAGGUAAAGUGCAUUCUGAUGGGAAGCGUUCCCAUCAGUAGAAGUGACGGCUAAAUACGUGCCAGCCGCCGCGGUAAUAC